UGAAAUGGGGUUUUGUUCAACCGCUUUGCAGUUGCAGUAUGCCUUCCGUCCACGCGGUGGCAGUGCAAAAGAAGAAUGUGACCGGAAGCCAGUAAACGAGCAUAAAAUCGAGUUGCCGAAGAUGAUGCGUUCAUUUUCAUUCGACUCUCGGACGUACGAGAUCACCACUUGAGAUCCUUAUGGCAUCAUCCAUGUGUGGACCCACCAUGGUUGGGCAUCUCGGUGGCCUCUCGGGGCUUCGCAAAGCUGGUCGUCAAGAAAUGGAGGUUCACAGGUGAUUGGUCAAACUAAGAAGGAUUUUGGAACAUUCUUGUGGACCAGAACCUGCCCACUGGAGUGGACAUGGCCCCGCCUCCCCUACUGCGGUGCACACGUCCUGCCCCCCCCACUACUGGAGAUGCAGGUCUGGUGGUCAGACAAGUUGCUAGUGGUCAGGCCCACGUGAUGGGUACUACAUGGGCCGGGUGCUGGACAUUGCGAGGAUAAGAUGGCAAAUACAAGCGGCAGGAAUGAUUGGCCAACACCUUCCCACUUGUGGAAAUGGACGCAUCUUGUCUAAGAUGGUCAUGAUUUUUUUAAUGCAUUAAAUUAGUUUAAUGUAACAGUUUUGACAUUUAAGUUAUUGAAUUAAAUGAUUUAUUUUUUUAUACUUCCUAUUUAAGUUGGUAAUAAAAUUAAUUCACUGUCUAAA